rnacentral:lncRNA from 1 species
UCAUUCUCAAGAGUAAACGAACAAUUUGGUGAAAACAGUUUGCUAAAAUCUUUUACGGUUUUAGAGAUAUAGCGAUAACAAGAAAAAGGGGACACGGGGAGAUAACUCCUAUAAUAAUAAGUGUUCGGUCACACAGGAUGAGUUUUGAAACCCCCAUUACUGUACAACAUCAUUGGCCAAAAAAUCCAUUCGAUAUGUUGUAAGACAAAAAAAGCAUCUCAGACGGCAGAAGAAAAAAAAAAAAAAAAA